UAACUACUCCCUCUGCCCCGAAUUACUUGUCGUGGAAAUGGACACAAAUGGAUGUAUCUAGAACUAAAAUGCCUAGAUACACCAAUUUCUGCGACAAGUAAUUUCGGACAGAGGGAGUACAUG
rfam:Triticum aestivum genome assembly, contig: Triticum_aestivum_CS42_TGACv1_scaffold_434051_5DL